rnacentral:misc_RNA from 1 species
GAACUUACACCCAAGCUUGAAAAGCUUGCCGUGAUACCGGGUAUGGCGGAAACGCCAGAAAGCAAAAUUGCGCUGGCGCGCGCCUGGCUUCGGUGCUGGCGCAACAACGGUUUUUGGCUCGCGGGUAUGCCCUCUACGUGGCAGAACCGAUCAAGGGCCGACGGCGUAAGCGUCAAGGACAAGAAGGGCAAAGGCAAGUUCAGAGCCAUGGACGUGGUGCUCACGGACAAGAGCGCCCGCAAAGUUUUCAACGAAAAGUGGACCCCCGAGCUUCUGGCGUUAUUUACCGUCGAUCUGGGCGGC